UAGAUGCUCAAGAAAUGUCUACCCAGGAU
rnacentral:piRNA from 1 species